CCCUUAGAUGUCCUGGGCUGCACGCGCGCUACACUGCUGUAUUCAACAAGUGUUACCUUGACCGAGAGGCCUAGGAAAUCUUUUAAAAGUGCAUCGUGAUAGGAAUAGAUUAUUGCAAUUUUUAAUCUUGAACGAGGAAUUCCUAGUAAACGCAGAUCAUCAAUCUGCAUUGAUUACGUCCCUGCCCUUUGUACACACCGCCCGUCGCACCUACCGAUUGAAUGGUCCGGUGAAGCCUCGGGAUUGUAGCAAUCUACCUUUAUUGGUGGUUUGUUGCAAGAACUUGUCUAAACCUUAUCAUUUAGAGGAAGGUGAAGUCGUAACA
rnacentral:rRNA from 1 species